rnacentral:rRNA from 1 species
CCAGCCGCCUAAGGUGGGAUAGAUGAUUGGGGUGAAGUCGUAACAAGGUAGCCGUAUCGGAAGGUGCGGCUGGAUCACCUCCUUUCUAAGGAA